GGUAGCUAAAUGCGGAAGAGAUAAGUGCUGAAAGCAUCUAAGCACGAAACUUGCCCCGAGAUGAGUUCUCCCUGAGACUUAGAGUCUCCUGAAGGAACGUUGAAGACGACGACGUUGAUAGGCCGGGUGUGUAAGCGCAGCGAUGCGUUGAGCUAACCGGUACUAAUGAACCGUGAGGCUUAACCUU
rnacentral:rRNA from 2 species